CCCUUAGAUGUUCUGGGCCGCACGCGCGCUACACUGAUGCAUUCAACGAGCCUAUCCUUGACCGAGAGGUCCGGGUAAUCUUUGAAACUGCAUCGUGAUGGGGCUAGAUUAUUGCAAUUAUUAAUCUUCAACGAGGAAUGCCUAGUAAGCGUGAUUCAUCAAAUCGCGUUGAUUACGUCCCUGCCCUUUGUACACACCGCCCGUCGCUCCUACCGAUUGAAUGUGUUGGUGAGGAGCUCGGAUUGGCAGCAGUUGGUGGUUCGCCACCGGCUAUUGCUGAGAAGUCCUCCAAACCGCCCCAUUUAGAGGAAGGAGAAGUCGUAACA
rnacentral:rRNA from 1 species